rnacentral:rRNA from 1 species
ACGCACGCUGGCGGCGUGCUUAACCCCUGCCAGUCGAACGGAAAGGCCCCUUUGGGGGUACUCGAGUGGCGAACGGGUGAGUAACACGUGAGUAACCUGCCCUUGACUUCGGGAUAACUUCAGGAAACUGGGGCUAAUACCGGAUAGGAAUCCUUGCUGCAUGGUGGGGGUUGGAAAGCUUCGGCGGUUUUGGAUGGACUCGCGGCUUAUCAGCUUGUUGGUGGGGUAGUGGCUUACCAAGGCUUUGACGGGUAGCCGGCCUGAGAGGGCGACCGGCCACAUUGGGACUGAGAUACGGCCCAGACUCCUACGGGAGGCAGCAGUGGGGAAUAUUGCACAAUGGGCGGAAGCCUGAUGCAGCAACGCCGCGUGCGGGAUGACGGCCUUCGGGUUGUAAACCGCUUUCAGCAGGGGCGAAGCUUGUGGUGACGGUACCUGCAGAAGAAGCACCGGCUAACUACGUG